ACUCAAGAAAGGAAAAUUACUUUAAUUAGUGAAUUAGGCAAUGUACAACAUUAGAAAAUGAACUUGAGAGGCAAUAUAAAGGAGAUAACUUCGGUAAAAUCAGGAUUUUCAAUGCUUUAACCAUCAUAUUGAAUAGUUUCUCCUCUACGCAAAGAAAAAACAUUUGUAUAUAUUUUUUUUAAUUUUCUAUGUUAAUAUUAAUUUUAAUUGAAACAUUGUCAUCAAUGUUUAUUUUGAUAUGAUCCGGGCUAUGCGCCAAAUUCUCAAUUAUUUGACGAUUGUUGGAGGUCUGUUAAUACCAAGAUUCAAGCUCAUUUGGAGGUUGAAAAGGGUUGAUAAAGAUGGCACAUCUCAUAAUCAAGUUUUGGAAUUCAAAAUGUGGGAAUUAACGUGCAAUGUAACAAGUUCCAUGAUUGGUGGGAAGAGAUUAAGUACAAAAUCAGGUUUGAUUACAGCCAAUAAAAUCAUGCAAUCAAGCGUCAAGGUUACCAGGCUAUAAAGGAUGAUGUUUGCAAGCUUAAAGUUGAGUUACAUGUUAGUCAUAAGGGCAAAAUCAUGUUCGGUGUAUUGGAUUCAAAGUUUUAGACGAUAUAUGGAAAAACAAGCAGUGUAGAUUAAAAUAGGCAUAACUUUUAGCUCGGGUGUCGAAUUUUCGCCCAUAGGUACAAUCCAAAAUCGUCACAAAAUUCUACGCUAGGAGGAAGAGGCUUCAAAAUUAAACUAUGCGACCGCAUAGUGUAAAAGCCAUGCAACCGCAUAGGCUAUUUUCGAGACAAAAUAGAGGCUGACUAUUUGUUCUAUGCGACUGCAUAGUAUACUUCAGGGACCAAAGUUGUAAUUUCUACGAGUUUCCUAUUUUGAGUAGAGUUCUUAUCUUUUAUUAUUUCUAGGAUUAUUUGAAUGAAGUUUUUACCUUUUUAAUUAGAUCCUAGGAUUUUCAUAUAAAUAGGACUUUAUUUUUAUUGUAUUGGAACUUUUAACAUUUGAGAGAUUAAUACACGGGGUUGUUUUGCUUCCAAUUUCUUGUUCUUUG
rnacentral:lncRNA from 1 species